AUCUAAAACUGUUCUGAAAAACGAAUUUGAUAAAAAAAAAAUACAGGCUGCCCAGUUAAAUUGGAAUUUCAGAUAAACUAGUAUUUUUUUAGUACGAGUAUAUUCCAUGCAGUAUUUGCGAUUUGGGUAUACUGAAAAAUUUCUGGAGGCCUGAGAGGCAUUGAGGACGCAGAGUCUCUGGUAGGUGUGACAGUGGGGACUUGAGACCAUGGGUCACACACUGGACUGCUGUGUAACAAACUGCCACACACAGCUUGUCCCGCUUAAGGGAGGAAACCCGCUCCUUUCACGAGGCGGAAAUCCGGGUGUUGGCGGCCCGAGCUCUUUUCAGGAGGCGCUGGGGAGAACCAGCUUUCAAGCUCAUCCAGGCCGCUGGCAGAACUCAGUUCCUUGCGCCUGCAGGACUGAGGUCCCCAUUCCAUGGGUGGCUGUAAGUCGGGGACUCUCGGCUCCCAGAGGCCACCCUCGCUCCUCGCCGUGUAUCCCCUCCAUCUUCAAGCCAGGAACAGCAUCGAACUCUUCUGCAGCUUCCAAUCUCUGAUUUCUCCAUCUGUCUUCAGGCCCCAAUUUAAAGGCUCGUGUGACCAAGUCGGGCCCAUCCAAGUCAAGGUCAGCUGAUUUAGGAUUUUAAUUUCACCUCCAAAUUCCCUUCGCGCAACACCUAGAUUAGCGCUGGAUUGAGUAAGUGGUAGAAGGUGUGUGCACACCAGGGUGAGAACCUUGGGAGGGAGCAUCUCAGAAUUCUGCCCACCACGAGGACCUGCCAGGCGGAACAGCGGAAAAGGAGGAAGAUGGCUGCGCCUCUAGAAACUCUCAUCGAUGGAGAAGGCACUGGAUUCUGCGUAACAAAGUUUAACCUGUAAACAUAAGCGCUGCCCCACACCUUUCUUUUGUCUUUAGCUGCAGAUGAGGUCUCAGCCAAAAGCUCAGAAGAGCAGAGGGAAAAUUAUUUUUCCUCCCCUACAGUUCCUGGUACACCCCACUUGCUCUGGAGCCUGCAGACAGCAUCCUGGAAAAAUGGGCCAAAGCCGGCAGAGGGUAAAAAUUCUUACCAAAGUCAGCUUUCCCGGAUCUCUGCCUGCAGUGCCCGGUUGAGAGAGGAAG
rnacentral:lncRNA from 1 species